UCGUUAACGAACGAGACCUCGACCUACUAAAUAGUUGAGUAAACUCUUCGGGGUUUACGCUGACUUCUUAGAGGGACUUUUGGUGAGUAGCCAAAGGAAGUUCGAGGCAAUAACAGGUCUGUGAUGCCCUUAGAUGUUCUGGGCCGCACGCGCGCUACACUGAUCGGUUCAUCGAGCAUACAACCUUGACUGAUAAGUCUGGGUAAUCUUUUGAAAACCGGUCGUGCUGGGGAUAGAUCAUUGAAAUUAUUGAUCUUCAACGAGGAAUUCCUAGUAAACGCGAGUCAUCAACUCGCAUUGAUUACGUCCCUGCCCUUUGUACACACCGCCCGUCGCUAAUACCGAUUGAAUGGAUU
rnacentral:rRNA from 1 species